ACUGCCAUUUGCAGCACAGAAUUUGUGUUUCUCUCUCCAUACUGUGAAUGAAGAAGUUGCAAAUCACCUCUAAAGAUGUGAAAGUCAAGCAAAGAGCUCUCAGGGACAGGGAAACAAACUCCUUUGAUUCCCAGCCAAGCAGAGAUGCAGUAAAGGAACGCUUUGCAUUUCAGAUGAAACACACCUUGGGAUGUAUAGAUAAUCCUGGCACCAGCUGGGGGGUCUGUGUGGAAAACAAAGGUCACCAUCUCCCAGGCAAUGCUCUCAUUUGCAUGCAGGAGGUGGCAUUUGUUUUGCAGCAUUUGAGUGUUUGCAAACAAGCCUGGGAAGCAUUUUCACAGUGAGACUGUGUGGAACAUAUGGGGUUUUUGCCUGGUUUGCUGUUGAGGCAGAGGAAAGACGUGCAUGGGAAAACCUGUGACAUAGGAGGCUCUGAGGAAAUAUUAAAGGAGAGAAAUACAUUUCUGAGGAUGGAAGGAGGAAGAGAAGAGCAUUAAGAUCCAGCUGCUAAUGGACUGUGUGGCAUCUACCACUUCCAAGAGCUCUUAAUGGCCUUUGUGACUUAGAAAAGGAAGAUUUAAACUGAGUUUUAAUAAAUC